UACGGAGGGUGCAAGCGUUAUCCGGAUUUACUGGGUUUAAAGGGUGUGUAGGCGGGCUAUUAAGUCAGUGGUGAAAUCUCCGGGCUCAACCCGGAAACUGCCAUUGAUACUAUUAGUCUUGAAUAUUGUUGAGGUAGGCGGAAUAAGUCAUGUAGCGGUGAAAUGCAUAGAUAUGACUUAGAACACCGAUUGCGAAGGCAGCUUGCUAAACAAUGAUUGACGCUGAGGCACGAAAGCGUGGGGAUCAAACAGG
rnacentral:rRNA from 1 species